GACGAACGCUGGCGGCGUGCUUAACACAUGCAAGUCGAGCGGAAAGGCCCUUCGGGGUACUCGAGCGGCGAACGGGGGAGUAACACGUGAGUAACCUGCCCCAGACUUUGGGAUAACCCUCGGAAACGGGGGCUAAUACCGGAUACGACACAGCUUCGCAUGGGGUCUGUGUGGAAAGUUUUUCGGGUUGGGAUGGGCUCGCGGCCUAUCAGCUUGUUGGUGGGGUGAUGGCCUACCAAGGCGACGACGGGUAGCCGGCCUGAGAGGGCGACCGGCCACACUGGGACUGAGACAGGGCCCAGACUCCUACGGGAGGCAGCAGUGGGGAGUAUUGCACAAUGGGCGGAAGCCUGAUGCAGCGACGCCGCGUGAGGGAUGACGGCCUUCGGGUUGUAAACCUCUUUCAGCUGGGACGGAGCGUAAGUGACGGUACCUGCAGAAGAAGCGCCGGCUAACUACGUG
rnacentral:rRNA from 1 species